rnacentral:rRNA from 1 species
UACGUAGGGGGCAAGCGUUGUCCGGAUUUAUUGGGCGUAAAGAGCGUGUAGGCGGCCAGGUAGGUCUGCUGUGAAAACUCGAGGCUUAACCUCGAGCUGUCGGCGGAAACCAUCUGGCUAGAGUCCGGAAGAGGAGAAUGGAAUUCCCGGUGUAGCGGUGAAAUGCGUAGAUAUCUGGAGGAAUACCGGUGGCGAAGGCGGCAUCCUGGACCGACAUUGACGCUGUGGAGCGAAAGCUAGGGGAGCAAACGGG